CUAAGAAUCUUCCGCAAUGGGCGAAAGCCUGACGGAGCGACGCCGCGUGAACGAAGAAUGUCGUGAGAUUGUAAAGUUCUUUUCCUGGGGAGGAAUAAGGCUCGGAGGGAAUGCCGAGUUGAUGACGUGAACCAGGGAAUAAGCCCCGGCUAAUUCCGUGCCAGCAGCCGCGGUAACACGGAAGGGGCAAGCGUUGUUCGGAUUUAUUGGGCGUAAAGGGCGUGUAGGCGGCAGUAAAAGUCUGGUGUGAAAUACUUCGGCUCAACCGAAGAGACGCGCUGGAAACUGCACUGCUUGAGUUUAGGAGGGGGAGCUGGAAUUCCUGGUGUAGGGGUGAAAUCUGUAGAGAUCAGGAAGAACACCGGAGGCGAAGGCGAGCUCCUGGCCAUAGACUGACGCUGAGGCGCGAAAGCGUGGGGAGCGAACAGGAUUAGAUACCCUGGUAGUCCACGCCGUAAACGAUGUGCACUAGGUGUCGGGGAUGAUGAUUCUCGGUACCGCAGCUAACGCGUUAAGUGCACCGCCUGGGGAGUAUGCUCGCAAGGGUG
rnacentral:rRNA from 1 species